UACGUAGGGGGCUAGCGUUGUCCGGAAUCAUUGGGCGUAAAGCGCGUGUAGGCGGCCUUGUAAGUCCGUUCUGAAAGCCCGGGGCUCAACCCCGGGAGGCGGAUGGAUACUGCAAGGCUCGAGUCCGGAAGAGGCAAGUGGAAUUCCCGGUGUAGCGGUGAAAUGCGUAGAGAUUGGGAAGAACACCGGUGGCGAAAGCGCUCUACUGGGCCUGCACUGACACUGAGGGACGAAAGCUAGGGGAGCGAAAGGG
rnacentral:rRNA from 1 species